rnacentral:rRNA from 1 species
CAGUAGCCGCGGUAAUACGUAGGGUGCGAGCGUUAAUCGGAAUUACUGGGCGUAAAGCGUGCGCAGGCGGUUGUGUAAGACAGGCGUGAAAUCCCCGGGCUUAACCUGGGAACUGCGCUUGUGACUGCACAGCUAGAGUAUGGCAGAGGGGGGUGGAAUUCCACGUGUAGCAGUGAAAUGCGUAGAGGUGUGGAGGAACACCGAUGGCGAAGGCAGCCCCCUGGGCCAAUACUGACGCUCAUGCACGAAAGCGUGGGGAGCAAACAGGAUUAGAUACCCGAGUAGUCCCUGUCUCUUAUAC